rnacentral:rRNA from 1 species
AGAACGAACGCUGGCGGCGUGCCUAACACAUGCAAGUCGAACGGAAUAAGGGGCUUGCUUCUUAUUUAGUGGCGCACGGGUGAGUAACGCGUAGAUAAUCUGCCUGAUGAUCUGGGAUAACAUUUCGAAAGAGGUGCUAAUACCGGAUAAGCCCACGACGGCCUUGGUCGACGCGGGAAAAGGGGGGGACCUUCGGGCCUUCUGUCAUCAGAUGAGUCUGCGUACCAUUAGCUAGUUGGUGGGGUAAAGCCUACCAAGGCUACGAUGGUUAGCUGGUCUGAGAGGAUGAUCAGCCACAC